rnacentral:rRNA from 1 species
AUUGAACGCUGGCGGCAGGCCUAACACAUGCAAGUCGAGCGAGCGGCGGACGGGUGAGUAAUGUCUGGGAAACUGCCUGAUGGAGGGGGAUAACUACUGGAAACGGUAGCUAAUACCGCAUACCAUCAGAUGUGCCCAGAUGGGAUUAGCUAGUAGGUGGGGUAAUGGCUCACCUAGGCGACGAUCCCUAGCUGGUCUGAGAGGAUGACCAGCCACACUGGAACUGCGACACGGUCCAGAAUCCUACGGGAGGCAGAAGUGGGGAAUAUUGCACAAUGGGCGCAAGCCGGAUGAAGCCAGGCCGGGUGUAGGAAGAAGGCCUUCGGGUUGUAAAGUACUUUCAGCGAGGAGGCGUUACGCGCAGAAGAAGCACCGGCUAACUCCGUGCCAGCAGCCGCGGUAAUUC